rnacentral:rRNA from 1 species
GUAGGAGGCGAGCGUUAUCCGGAUUUACUGGGUGUAAAGCGCGUGCAGGCGGUCGACUAAGUUGGAUGUGAAAGCUCCUGGCUCAACUGGGAGAGGUCGUUCAAGACUGGUCGACUGGAGAGCAGUAAGGGAAGGUGGAAUUCCGGGUGUAGUGGUGAAAUGCGUAGAUAUCCGGAGGAACACCAGUGGCGAAAGCGGCCUUCUGGACUGCAUCUGACGCUCAGACGCGAAAGCUAGGGGAGCAAACGGGAUUAGAGACCCCGGUAGUCCUAGCUGUAAACGAUGUGAACUUGGCGCUGGGUGGGUAAAACCGCUCAGUGCCGGAGCAAACGCGAUAAGUUCACCACCUGAGGACUACGGCCGCAAGGUUAAA